AAUGGCUAUUGCCAAAAUACAAGAAAACUAGAGACCCUUGAAACUAGACUAGAAGCAAGAAAGGAGUUGACAAGAGUGAAGAGGGCUUCACUCUUGCCUCUAUAUAUAUUAUCUAACUAGAAGCCACGUGGCAAUGUUCUAUAAGACCUCCAAUAUAUGUUGACUUUCUAGGCCACAUGCCUUUGCUUGCAAGGCAAGUUUUCUAUGGAUGGACCACGUAGUUAGCUUGUUCUUUAAGCUUCCAACAUGCGUGGCACAUGGCUAACUUGUUGACCAAGUUUCUAACCUAAAAGUCAACUAUAGACUCCUAUAAAGUCAAAGCAGCGUCUAUGAAGCUUCUAAGAAGCUUCUCUAGAAGAUAUUACACAAUUAACCUACUUUUAUCUACUUUUACAUACUUUUAUCUAUUCAUAUAGGUAAUUAUAUGUAUGUCCGUGACAUUACCUCCCCUUCUAGGGACGAGUUCCACGAGGAGCGGUGAUUAUAUAUUGAGAAGAUCUAAUAUGCGGCGAAUUGUAUUUGCUACAUACUCUGAUCUUUGUUCUCUUCGAAGAUAGUUGAUGGGUCCUCUUAGCCAUCGAUAGUGUGCCAUUCCAGGGCGAGAAGACCACCUUGUUAUUUGAUCACUGUUGAGGCCUUCAUAACUUCCUUCAAAUAAUACAUUUGAAACACCAUCAAGAGUCGUUCCUAUCUCCAAUAAUAUCACCAAACAUCGAGAAUCUCUUCCAAGGUCGUGAUACCAAACGCGUUGUAUCUCACCAUCUAUUCGAGGAAGAACAUGUCGUUCUUGAGGGCCUUCAUCUCGGUUGCGUCGUCUUGAAGGUUGUGACAAUCGCAAUGUCUCAUCCGGUAAGUCAGCAAACGAAGGUUCUUGAGUUGAAUCCGCUUGUUGUUGGCUCUCCAUCUAAUUAGCGUCACAAAAUGCAAAGAAGUUACAAACAAGGAUAGGAGAUUGAAUGUUAUCUUGCCUCAAUCUUGUCUCUUUUAUAAGAGAGGUUUUCAUCUUGGUUUUGAUGGAUGUCGUUGAUGAAAAACUUUGACUUUAGCUGAUGCAUUUGCUAGAUUCCUGGAUGGCUCCCAUGUGCGCUCACUAAUAUCAUAUCCGCGCCAAUGAACAAGAUAUUCCAGCUUAUUUCGGCGCCGCCUUGAGUCUAAUAUCUCUUCCACCUCAAAUUCUUCAUUAUUAUCUACUUCUAUAGGAGGCGGUGGCAUUUGUCUUCUUCCUUGUAUAUCCACUGUCUUAUAUGGUUCAAGAAGAGAUACGUGGAAUACAGGAUGGAUCUUCAUUGACUCCGGUAGAUGUAACCGAUAUGCAACUGGGUUGAUCUGUUCAGAAACAGAAAAGGGGCCAAGCCUACGAUAGUCCAACUUGUCACAAGGUCCAGUAGUCUUGAUAUUGCGACGAAGUAGCCAUACCUUAUCACCCACGUUGAUUUGUGGUUGCUCCUUACGAUAUAGAUCUGCGUUUAUCUUUUGUCGUUCUUGAGCUUCCUUCAAUUGUGUCUUCAUUAUUGCAUGUAACUCUGACAACCGAUUUGCCAUAUCUUCUGCUGCAGGAUUAUCAACUUUUGAAAAAUCAAAAGUAUCAAGUCGUGGAUGAUAGCCAUAAUUGGCAAAGAAAGGUGUUUGUUGCGUGGAAGAAUGUACCGUAUUAUUAUAAGCAAACUCUGCCAAUGGCAGAAGGGUUGUCCAAUCAUCUUGUUGGUAGUUGAUAGUACACCUUAAAUAUUGCUCCAAGACUUGGUUUACGCGCUCUGUUUGUCCAUCAGUUUGAGGAUGGAAAGCCGAAGAUAGCUUUAUGUCCACUUUUAAAAUCUUGAAAAGGGUCCUCCAAAAUCUUGACACAAAUUGAGUUCCCCUAUCCGAUAUGAUAUCUUUAGGUAACCCAUGAUAGCGAUAGAUAUUAUCAAUGAAAAGCUUAGCUGUUUCUUCACCUGUGAUAGAUUUUGUAUAUGGCACAAAAUGUACCAUCUUGGUGAAACGAUCUACUAUCACAAAUAUAGAAUCAUAAGAUCUUGAGCUUGGAAGAUCUGUAAUGAAAUCCAUAGAAACAGAAGACCAUGGUUGUUCUGGUAUAGGUAAUGGCUGAAGAAGUCCGUAAGAUCGAUGUCGAGGAAUUUUUGAUCUUGAACAAAUAUCACAUGAUUGUACAAAGUCUUUGACUGACUUCCACAUUUGUGGCCACCAAAAAUUUCUUGAUAUGAGUUCCAGAGUCUUAUUAUAUCCAAAGUGCCCUGCUGCUGGAAAGUCAUGACGUGCUUGAAGAACACGCAAACGUGCUUUUCUUUCUGGAACAUAUAGGCGUCCUUCAAAAUAUAAUAGAUUAUUCUUGAACUCGAACUUAGAAGAAUCAUGAGACUUGGAAGAAUUAUUCUCGAUAUCAUGAACAAGAGGGUCUGAGGACAUACUGGACUGGAUUUGCUUGAGAAAAGUUGAAUCAACAGUCAAUGUUGAUUUCAUUGCUCGGAGAUGAAAUUGCUCCGGUUUCAAGAGGACCGUUCUUUGUUGCUCAAAAGCUGCAUCUCCUUCUUUUGGUGCAAAAUAAGAACGUCUAGAUAGGGCAUCGGACAAACCUUGUUGUUUUCCUGGCCGAUAAGUGAUAAUGAAGUCGAAUCUUGACAAAGACAUACUCCAACGAGCUUGACGACGAUUCAACACGCGUGCUGACAUGAAAUACUCGAGGUUCUUGUGAUCUGUAUACACAGUGACUGGACUAGAAGCACCUUCUAGAUAAUGACGCCAUUCUUGAAAGGAAUCCACGAUUGCAAGAAGUUCUUUAUCGUGGAUCUCAUAAUUGAUCUCGGCUGCUGAGAAUUUUCUUGAAUGAAAAGCUAUCGGAUGAAGUUUGUCAUCUGUUUCCAUUUGUGAUAAAACUGCACCCAAGGCAAAAUCCGAUGCGUCUGUUUCCAUAAAAAAUGCCUUGGAAAAGUCAACACGAUAUAAGACUGGUGCAGAGACAAACGAUGUCUUCAAGGCUUCAAAUGCUGCUUCCGCUUCUUGAUUCCAUUGGAAUUUAUCUUUACUAGUCAAGCGUGUAAGUGGAGCUGCAACUCGUGAGAAGUCUUUGAUGAAGAUCCGAUAGUAAUUGGCAAAUCCCAAGAAACAUUGGACAUCUCUUACAGUCUUUGGAAUCUUCCAAUCCAUGAUUGUUUGGACUUUCUUAGAAUCCAUUAUAAGACCAUCAUUUGAAAUGAUGUAUCCUAAAAAGUCAACUUGAGUAGUGUGAAAUACACACUUUUCCAUCUUGGCGUACAAUCCUUCUUGUCGACGACGAGACUUUUCUUGUUCAGUAAGAGGUUUGAAACGUCAACAUUCUUAGAAUAAAUCAGGAUAUCGUCUAGGUAGCAGACGACAAAAUUGUCUAAGAAUUCACGAAAUACAACGUUGAGGCCCACUUGUGCGACUCUCGGAUCGAAAUUCAAAAAGUCGAUUGUCGCACUUCACAGCAAAGUCAAUUGCUUGACUCAAUGUUUGUGGAUCAGGUAAAUUAAGCAUCAAUUUCUUUACCUCAUAUUGUAAUCCGUAGAGAAAUUGACUCACAAGUGCGGCAUCAUCCCACUUGAUAUCAGUUGCAAGUUGUCGAAAUUGCGAAGCAUAUAAUGUUACUGAUCGAUUGCCUUGUCGCAAAAUACGGAUCUUGUUGGUUGCAACACGAAUUGCAUCAUGUUCUCCAAACAUGGAUCGAAACUCCGCCAAAAAAGCCUCCAGAUUAUCCAAUAUUAGAUCUCGUCGUUCAAGAAAAGAUGAAAACCAUGACAAUGCUGAACCUGAAAGAAGUGUACCAAUGAAUCUUACUUGUGACCCUGGAGUUGGAUAGCUCUGGGGUUGAAGUUCAAUCACUAGUUGGACCUGAUUGAUGAAUCCUCGAAACUUGGAUCUGGUACCAUCAAACUUCUCGGGCAAGGCAACUCUCGGUUCUCUAACACUCGAAGGGUGUUCCAUUCUGGGAGAAGGGACAUGGUUUGGUGCAGAUGUUGAAGCAGCCCCAAUCAUCUCUAUAUCUUCACUUCCUACCAUUCUUGUUGCUCCUUGUGGUGGUAAAUUGAGUUGAUGCAUCGCAAGCAUUAACUCCCUCAAUUGUUCUUGCAUCUGUGCCAUUGCACUCUUCAUUUCAACAAGCUCUGCCAUAGUAGCACUUAGAAAAGAGAAGAUGUCUAACAAUGCUCAAAACAAAUAGAAGAGAGGAAUUGAUAACAAAGAAAAUACUAAGAACAAUAUCAGUUUAAAAGAGGGUAAUCCGCAACUUCUAAUGCGCUUAUGUCUUAUCAAGAAAAAGGGGUAAUCCACUCUUAAUCAAGAAAAGACAAAGCUCUGAUAUUGUAAGUGUACUCUUGUCAAUCUGUCAAGGAUAAGAACUCGAUGAAAGCUAAAGAGUAAGUAAGACUUUUCUCAAAAAGAAAUAGGACAAAAUAGAAAUAUGUAUAUUAAAAAAGAAACUGGAAUGGCUAUUGCCAAAAUACAAGAAAACUAGAGACCCUUGAAACUAGACUAGAAGCAAGAAAGGAGUUGACAAGAGUGAAGAGGGCUUCACUCUUGCCUCUAUAUAUAUUAUCUAACUAGAAGCCACGUGGCAAUGUUCUAUAAGACCUCCAAUAUAUGUUGACUUUCUAGGCCACAUGCCUUUGCUUGCAAGGCAAGUUUUCUAUGGAUGGACCACGUAGUUAGCUUGUUCUUUAAGCUUCCAACAUGUGUGGCACAUGGCUAACUUGUUGACCAAGUUUCUAACCUAAAAGUCAACUAUAGACUCCUAUAAAGUCAAAGCAGCGUCUAUGAAGCUUCUAAGAAGCUUCUCUAGAAGAUAUUACACAAUUAAUCUACUUUUAUCUACUUUUACAUACUUUUAUCUAUUCAUAUAGGUAAUUAUAUAU
rnacentral:lncRNA from 1 species